GAGAACAUCUUAAAAAAAAACACAAAAUCCUGAAAAAUACCCUGGAUGUCACUCAACCCAGAAAACAGCAAAGGAUUUUGAAAAAGUGAGAAGAAUAAGAUGGCCAUGGCUCAGGGCUGACAAAAACGGAGAGAGGCCGAGAAAGAGCAGCCCCCUGCUCUAAC